rnacentral:rRNA from 1 species
AGGGUUCGAUUCUGGCUCAGGAUGAACGCUAGCUACAGGCUUAACACAUGCAAGUCGAGGGGCAGCAUUGGAGUAGCAAUACUCAGAUGGCGACCGGCGCACGGGUGAGUAACACGUAUCCAACCUGCCGCUUACUCGGGGAUAGCCUUUCGAAAGAAAGAUUAAUACCCGAUGGUAUAAAGAGUUCGCAUGUUCUCUUUAUUAAAGAAUUUCGGUAAGCGAUGGGGAUGCGUUCCAUUAGAUAGUUGGCGGGGUAACGGCCCACCAAGUCUACGAUGGAUAGGGGUUCUGAGAGGAAGGUCCCCCACAUUGGAACUGAGACACGGUCCAAACUCCUACGGGAGGCAGCAGUGAGGAAUAUUGGUCAAUGGACGAGAGUCUGAACCAGCCAAGUAGCGUGAAGGAUGACUGCCCUAUGGGUUGUAAACUUCUUUUAUAAGGGAAUAAAGUGAGGGACGUGUCCCUUUUUGUAUGUACCUUAUGAAUAAGGAUCGGCUAACUCCGUGCCAGCAGCUGC